GAACCCACCUUGCAAAAAAUGGAUAAACCACCCAUUAUUUCAAAGAUAAUUUUCUUUAAAUAAUGACUUUGUUUUUACGGGGAAAUGUGAUACAUGGCAGUUCAGUGAGCAUUUUCAUUCAAUUACAAUUGGAAUUGUCUGAAGAAUUUAAGUUAGCCCAUUAGAUUUCUACACAAGUCAGUGAACACAUUGACCUGCUCUAGAACUUCAAAGAGAAACCGGGAAUGGUCAAAUUCACAACUCCUCUGGACUGGGCCAAGGUUCGGAAUAAAUUACCAACACCUGCAUAGGGCUUUAGACGUUAAACCAAUUACAAGUGUCUAAUUCAAAUUCUACUCUUAACACCAAUGGGUUUUUUUUAUUACUUCUUUGGAAACUCUUAAUAAUCCUUCCUCUUGGUGGGAUUGAAGGCUAUUAGGAUUUUCCCAGCUGGGUGUAACUGAAUAACUGUGUCUGUGAGAUCUUGUUAAUAACACAGUUUAAGGGACCAUUUCCAAUGUAAAACAUUAAGAAGCUGUGGUUUCUGGCAGGCCACAAACACUCCACCCUGCUAGUGUGAACAGACACAUUGGGAGUCUCAUAAGAAAGCAUAAACACGUUGCUAGUGUUUCCAUAAGAUCAACUCAUUAUGCUGCAAAUGUCAUUCUAUCUUUAUCUUACUCCCCCCCCCCCCAAAAGCAGAAAUGCAUUCCAAUCCUACUUUACUCAGAAGCACACUAGAAUUCAGUGGGACUUAGCCCUAGUAAAUGUGGCUACGAAUGCAGCUCAAAUUCCUUAAAGGACUUUAUAAAUGUAUGGGUUACUGAUAGCAAAAAGAUAAGUUUUUAAUUUCACCAUGUCCUUCUCUCCUACACAUACUUAUUUGCUGUGAGAAUUUUAUUCUCUUCACUAGUAUUCUGGCAGAUCACAAAUGCUGGUAAGUGGCAGCUUUCUGCCAAGCUGGCCUAACAGUAGUAUCCACAGAGUCAGAGCCCUCCUUGCCAAGUACAAACCCAAAGAUCUCAAUAGAGAGUCACCUCCACCUGAUCCUACCCCCCCCCCCCCAGCAACAUAGAUCAGGGGUUAGGAAUUCACUGUAAGCAUGCUUAGGAUUGCAGCCUUAUUUUCAGUUUCCCUCAGUAUUAGAUUUAUACAGGGCUGCAAGUUCUUUUCCCCCCUUUGGUGAGGUUCCUUUGCCUUUGAAUAGCUGCCUGUUUGCUAGUUUAACUGCGACUUUACUGCAUAUCUGGAAGUUGUGAGGACACAGCAGCCCUAAAAGUUAACAAAACAUAGUCUAUACUCAAGGGUCAAUAUUAUUUAUUAUAGUGUGGUGCACAAUUGGCCUGGGGGGAUAGGCUAAUUACAAUAUUAAAGCCAGAAAUGAUGAAUACCAAAGUCCUUUUCCUGUCUUAUGUUCAGUUUGAGGAAAAGAGGUACUAAAGCUGCAAUUCUAAUCCCACUAAACAAUAUUGAAUUCAAUAGGACUUCUGAGUAGACAUGGUGAAGGCUGUGUGCAAACUACAGUGGUACCUCGGGUUACAUAUGCUUUAGGUUACAAACUCCGCUAUGCCAGAAAUAGUAUCUCCGAUUAAGAACUUUGCUUCAGGAUGAGAACAGAAAUUGUGCUCCUGCGGCGCGGCAGCAGCAGGAGGCCCCAUUAGCUAAAGUGGUGCUUCAGGUUAAGAACAGUUUCAGGUUAAGAACGGACCUCCGGAACGAAUUAAGUACUUAACCCGAGGUACCACUGUAUACUUUUAAAGUAUACCUUUGAAGCACACCCUCAAAGAAUUCUGGGCACUGUAGCUUACUUCUCUCAGAGUUACAGUUCCCAGCAACACUUAACAAACUAGAGUGCUCAGAAUACUUUGAGGGAAAGAAUGUGUUUUGAAUGAUCUUUAAAGGUACAGUAUAGAUUGUACAGUAAGUUGCUGUCUGCCUCCCUUCAUUCUUUACAUAUUGAAAUAAAGCUAGACAGGGUGGGGGGGCUUUUUUUUUUUUUAAGCAUGUGAUUCUGUUUUCCUUUGCACAGCUUGGCUCUGCUAUAAAGAGAGCUGUAUCUUUAGAACCACAUCUGUGGUAUGAUAAAGUGCAUGGUUGAAUUCAAGAUGUUUCCCUGACAUAUACAGACAAGAAAAAUUAUUAUUAGACUUGGAUCAGUUGAACUAAAGUAUUUGUGCAAGUUGCAAGUCAAGGAAACCACAUAUAAAUGCUGGGGGGCAGAUUCAACUAGAAAGCUGUGCUGGCUCCUUCUAGUACAAUGGGGCCCCUCUAGCACAUUGAGGUUUCCCCUCCUUCUCCCAUGUGCCCUUGCCCCCCCCCCAUUGGCUUGGGAGUGCAGGAGAACCUUAGAAACAGCACACAGGAGGAAGAGAGGAGAGAUCAAUCCACCUGGCAAGCAGAAAUGCUUGUGCUGAUAGUAUGACAUUGAAUUCCAUCCUAAGACAAUGGCAAACUCAUAAACUUUAUUCAGUUACUGACAACCAAGAGGAAAUGGGGGCAGCUUCAAACUUCCACUCACCACCUUAUAAAUUGUAAAUUUCUGUAUCUGUGAUGUGUUGACAACUUCAUGUUAGCUUAGCAAUGAGGUUUUUAUUGGGGGCCAAAAUUAUAUCAAUAGCUCACUGUGAUUUUUCCAGGCAUAGUAGCCAACUCCUUGAGGCCAAGGUCUCUUCAACCUCCCCCCAUAAUAUUUGAGGGGGUAGGCCCCCCCAGUUGAUAGGGAAUGCCAUUCAAAUGGUAUGUGCAUGCCAUGUCUUGAGAUUGAUUAUGUGGGGUGGGGCUUACCUGCCCCCCGCCCCAUAUUUUAUUCAAAUGAGUACCACUUCACAAAAGCAGCCAACUGCAGAGAGAGUCACCUAGGCAGUUGGGAUUCCUGGGGAAGAUACGACAGAGUCCUAGGUUUUGACCUCUGGAUCUGAGUUGGUGAACAUGGUAGACUAGUCUUCUUACUGCUUUACACUGAACCAACAAGUUCAUAAGAUUGUGGUGGUCUGUUCCUUCCUUUUCUUGCUGAAGCGAUGCAUUGCAGCCUGAACACAGAACUUAAAGGCAGUUACCUUGGGCCUACCCUGAACUUUCCUUUUCACCCAAGUACUUCAGAAGAACUAACUCCUGCAGGGCAGUGAAUUAUCUAAUCCUCACAGCUCACUCUGUUCACAGACCAAAGGCACUGUGUCUACCUCACAGAAGCUGUGUAUAUCAAAGGGUACGUUGUGCUGACAGUAAUGCUAUGGGUGAAUACUGUGAUCUCUCUGCAGCCAUAAGGCUCUAACAGUAGAACGACAAAGAACGAUCUUGGGGUGAACACUGUGGCUUUCAGUAUUUCUUGGUGUCUUGCAAAAUGUGUUUCUCUGCCUUGGGAUUUUGAGUAGACAUGUAGCUGUACUGUCAGUAUUGCAGCUUUUUAUUUCACAGCUGACUCAUGUAUUUUGCACACUUGGGGGGAAGGUUCCUUCUGUGUUUUUAACUGCAGUUUGCAGAUAUUAUCCGGGGAUAAUGUGUAGUUCCAGGACUACGAAAACAUCAGCUUCUGAUUUCUACUGAUCAGGCUGCUUUAAAAAGCAUUGGAGCAGCCCAGGAUAUUGUUUUCUCAUCAUUUGGCAACCCUACUUUAGAAUCUCUCUGUUUUUCAAUUUUUUUAAAAACCGAAGCAAUGUUUCUGUUCCUCUUCUCUGCAAUAUACUUUUGUAAAUCUAAGGCCCCUUAGACACCUUGUAAGAAGUAUCCCAUUUAAUCUAGCACAGGAGUUUUAAUUAAAUUGCAUUCCUUAUUCUUCUAGCAGAAACUGCUCUGCCUGUAGCCUGAAAAAUUGGAAGAGCACAGCUCAUUUUGAUCUUGGAGUAAAAGUCAGGAUCAAGAGCAGCAUGUCAGGAAAAUAAUAUUUCUUUUGCUUUAAAAUUUAGGUCAUUUUUGAAAAUUAAAUUAAGACUAGAAAAAUAAGCGAGAAAAACAGGAAGCACUGCCCUAAAGACAGAAAGCAGCUUGUUGUUAGACAGGUUUGAGAAACAUUACCAUAAAAUGUGUUACAUGCAGCAUUACCAACUUCUAAACAGGCCCUUGUUGCUGCCACUUCAUGAGCAAUUUGAUCUGCAGCCAUUGACAGGUAGUGUUUAUCUCCAUGCCAUGGGAUGCUUCACUUGCUUAUUUCUGCAGAUCAAAUUACUUGAGAGAGGCACAGGAAUAGGCUAAGCAGCCAUUACCUUUUCUUGACCAGUUCACAACCACCCUAGCCAUCUUGAACAGUUCUUGUGAUCUUAUUCAGUGCUUUGACCUUACUCAGCUCAUGACACCCUCUCAUUCUUACACUUUCUCUGAAAAUAAGCUACUAUUAUAAUGCCAUCUUCUCAGCCUUGGAAGAAACAUCCACCUAGAAGAGUAAUAAUCUAACAUAGCUUUAGUGUCCAAAAUGUAUCAAGAGUCCCUGGUGCAAAAUUUAUUUUGUUAUUAGGUAUAGCCUAUGUUUUCCCCAAGGAGCAAAAAGGUGGCAUACAUCGUUCUUUACUCAGCUUCAUCUUACCCCGUAACAGCCAUGUGUUAGACUGUGAGAUGGUGGUGACUGGACCAAAGUCACAGUGAGUUUAAUGGCUGAAAGGAAAUUUGAAUGCAGAGUUGCAUUCUGACCACAAUGCCAUAGAAUUGCCAUAUUCCUCAAUAUUCAUCCCUGCUGUGUUCUGUUUUGAUCUAAUUUUGGAAUAGUCAUAUUUGCUUAAAGAUUAAGGUAUCAAUUGAUCUUUAUUACAUUCUCUCCAUGGGUUUUCUUUUCCCAUACUGUACUGGCACACAAAAGCCCCCUCCUCAUAAUAACUUGUUCGCUGGAGACAAGGAAAAUGGAUUGAUAUGUUUUCACUAACAAAUAGAUAUUUAGUAGAAUAUCAGACUUAGUCACUCAUAGUCAGCAUCAUUCUUUCUAGAGGUAUGCUUGGCGGUAAUUGUCUGGUAAAGGAAAACCAGUAGGAUUUGAAGCUGCUAUGUGGUACAAUGCCGCCAUCUGCUGCACACAUUGAUAUUUUAACAUUUGAAAGAUGAGGGAAUAUGCUAAAUUACUUACGUGAAUCAGUUUUUAAAAGAAUUAUGAUGGAAGAUACAACUCUAAAAACUAAGAACAGCAAAGGAACAGUUUUUUUAAAGUGUAUAUCAAAUUUUCAAAAACAGUAAGAAAGCAAAGAACAAUUGUGUGGAGCAUAUUAUUUCAGUGAGAAUAAAAUAAACAAAAGGUUAAGUAAACUUUUGCAGACAUUACAAUAAAACAGAUUCUUCAAAUGAACAUUUUGUAAGAGUUACAUAUCAAUAUAUGUAUUGCCUUGCCACAUAGAGAGAUGUGUUGUUGGGGGCCUAUGCAAUACAUUAUUUUUUUUACUAUGAGUUAUAUGAACAGAGAUCAAACAACAUCAAAAAGGCUUGCUUCUUAACUCCUCUUAGAACCCUCCUAUGGUGGGUUAAAUGCUCAGACAAGGCAGUGCCCCACACCCUUUCAAAUAGGGGGCAGUGCACCUGUUUUGGCACUUGAAGGGAAACAGAAAGUGCUGUCCUUCUGCACCGCACCACCCUUGCCUAGGUUGGGUAGUGGUGGUGGCAGGUUCUGGUGAGAUCUCACUGGAAAUCAGUGCCAGUGCCAUUUCUCCACCAGUGGUGGAGGCGCUGUGGCAGGCAGAGUGUCUGUGGGGGCACCACCUUGGGGGCUUCCAUUGCCCAAAAUGGCUGCUUCACCCCACCUUAUGUGUGAGCCAGCCUUGCUCUCAAACUAUCUAUCUCUAGAAGGACCCAAUGCAGACUUCCAAGGUUUGGCAAUUUAGAGUCUGACUGCAGCCAGCAACAGAGCUAGCAGCUCCUUGGGAGCAAGAGUGGAAACAGUGCAUUACAUAGUUUAGCCUUAUAAACUACACCUUAUUUUAUUUUACAGAUGUUAUGCUCACACAAAGGAGAUCCAAUAUUUCACUUAGUGAAUGACUAAGGAGUGAAUAAAAAGAAACGUAUCAAUCUGAAAUAAUCUUUUAGACUGUUUCAAAGCUUUUGCCGGAUCAAUUUAUAUUGUCUUGAUGUUUGUCUUCCUAUAUUUGGUUUAUUUGUAUAGGCUAUGAAAUCACACUAGGUAGGUUUUUUGAUUUAAAAAAUCCUUUCUGGAUUUACCUCUCAGUACUCUUAGAUAGUGAAUUUUAAAUCCCAUAGAUGCCACAAACCAUAAUUUUGAGUACCAUUUAUCCAAAGUUAAACCUUUGGCGGCAGUUUUCUUUUGUUUACUCUUCACUCAGUUGUUUGGCCUCAGGAAUUUCAGAAAGAGCAAAACCAUAACUUAAAUUCUACGCAGACUGCACUAACAUGAAGAAAUUGGUUGAUGUUUCAGCUUCCAUUAGUGUACCCUCUCCAGCUGUCUCUAAGAUAGCUAACACAUUAUGCUUUGGGUGUCAAACUCUGACAGCUUGGAGGAUCAGCUAAGUUAUGAUACCGUAGGGCUGUUAGGAUCUUAUGACCAUUUAGGCAGUAAGCAGGGGAGGCCCUACUCCAAGUACCCCUUCCUCCUGAAGUAAAGUAGGUUGUGACAGAGGAGUCAGACUUCCCUGUUGUGGCACACCCACUCUGGUAUGUCCUCACUCGGGCCAUGCACUCAGUGCAAAAAUAUUAUUUACCCAGGCCUUUUAAUGUUGCAUAUAUUACGCGGUUGUAUAUGUUCAUAUGCUUUAAGCACUUAUUUUAGUUUUUCCCCUUUUGUUGUUGUUUUAGCACCUCUUCCCCCCCCCCAAUAUCAUUGUGUUUUGUUUCAAUUGUUUUGCACUAUUUUACAUUGCAAUCCUACAUAUGUCUAUUCAGAAGUAAGCCCCACCAAGUCCUAGGUAAAUAAGUGUAGCCUUCAAGGUAAUUUUGUGAGCUACUAAGAAACAGGGCAUAAAUGUAUUACAUAAUUAAUCUUUUUUAAAAAAUUCUUUUUAUUAAGUUCUUUUUUAAGACAAAAACAUACAAACGAACAACAACAACAAAAGAAAAAAGACAAAGCAACACAUAAAAAAAGAAAACAAACGGAAAACAAACCAACAUCAAUUCAUAACGUGACACUGAUUGACUUCUCUCCAUCUCGGUUUUGGGCUAUGUAACCACAAUACCUUUCUGCGGUAUCAUUUUACAACCUCUAUCUAUACAUCGCAGGCUUUAUGUUACACCUACUGUGAUUUAAAUAUUUCCUAAAUUUGCUUCUAUGUAUGUUAUGAAUUUGUUCCAAUCGUUAAUAAAUUUUACACUUUUU
rnacentral:lncRNA from 1 species